rnacentral:rRNA from 1 species
AGAGUUUGAUCCUGGCUCAGGAUGAACGCUGGCGGCGUGCCUAACACAUGCAAGUCGAGCGGCAGCGAAGGGUGCUUGCACCCUGUCGGCGAGCGGCGGACGGCUGAGUAACGCGUGGGAACGUGCCCCAAAGUGAGGAAUAACUGCCCGAAAGGGUAGCUAAUACCGCAUAUUAUCUUCGGAUCAAAGGAUUUAUCCGCUUUGGGAGCGGCCCGCGUCGGAUUAGGUAGUUGGUGAGGUAAUGGCUCACCAAGCCGACGAUCCGUAGCUGGUCUGAGAGGAUGACCAGCCAGACUGGAACUGAGACACGGUCCAGACUCCUACGGGAGGCAGCAGUGAGGAAUCUUCCACAAUGGGCGAAAGCCUGAUGGAGCAACGCCGCGUGAAGGAUGAAGGCCUUCGGGUUGUAAACUUCUUUUAUGAGUGAAGAAUAUGACGGUAACUCAUGAAUAAGCACCGGCUAACUACGUGCCAGCAGCCGCGGUCAUACGUAGGGUGCGAGCAUUAUCCGGAGUGACUGGGCGUAAAGAGUUGCGUAGGCGGUAAGUCAAGUGAAUAGUGAAACCUGGUGGCUCAACCAUACAGACUAUUAUUCAAACUGGCUUACUCGAGAGUGGUAGAGGUAACUGGAAUUUCUUGUGUAGGAGUGAAAUCCGUAGAUAUAAGAAGGAACACCAAUGGCGUAGGCAGGUUACUGGACCAUUUCUGACGCUAAGGCACGAAAGCGUGGGGAGCGAACCGGAUUAGAUACCCGGGUAGUCCACGCCGUAAACGAUGGAUACUAGCUGUUGGAGGUAUCGACCCCUUCAGUAGCGAAGCUAACGCGUUAAGUAUCCCGCCUGUGGAGUACGGCCGCAAGGCUAAAACAUAAAGGAAUUGACGGGGAC